rnacentral:rRNA from 1 species
AUUGAACGCUGGCGGCAGGCUUAACACAUGCAAGUCGAGCGGAGAUGAGGUGCUUGCACCUUAUCUUAGCGGCGGACGGGUGAGUAAUGCUUAGGAAUCUGCCUAUUAGUGGGGGACAACAUUCCGAAAGGAAUGCUAAUACCGCAUACGUCCUACGGGAGAAAGCAGGGGAUCUUCGGACCUUGCGCUAAUAGAUGAGCCUAAGUCGGAUUAGCUAGUUGGUGGGGUAAAGGCCUACCAAGGCGACGAUCUGUAGCGGGUCUGAGAGGAUGAUCCGCCAAACUGGGACUGGGACACGGCCCAGACUCCUACGGGAGGCAGCAGUGGGGAAUAUUGGACAAUGGGGGGAACCCUGAUCCAGCCAUGCCGCGUGUGUGAAGAAGGCCUUAUGGUUGUAAAGCACUUUAAGCGAGGAGGAGGCUACUGAGACUAAUACUCUUGGAUAGUGGACGUUACUCGCAGAAUAAGCACCGGCUAACUCUGUGCCAGCCGCCGCAGUAA